rnacentral:rRNA from 1 species
AGCCUGAUCCAGCCAUGCCGCGUGUGUGAAGAAGGCCUUAUGGUUGUAAAGCACUUUAAGCGAGGAGGAGGCUACUUUAGUUAAUACCUAGAGAUAGUGGACGUUACUCGCAAAAUAAGCACCGGCUAACUCUGUGCCAGCAGCCGCGGUAAUACAGAGGGUGCAAGCGUUAAUCGGAUUUACUGGGCGUAAAGCGCGCGUAGGCGGCUAAUUAAGUCAAAUGUGAAAUCCCCGAGCUUAACUUGGGAAUUGCAUUCGAUACUGGUUAGCUAGAGUGUGGGAGAGGAUGGUAGAAUUCCAGGUGUAGCGGUGAAAUGCGUAGAGAUCUGGAGGAAUACCGAUGGCGAAGGCAGCCAUCUGGCCUAACACUGACGCUGAGGUGCGAAAGCAUGGGGAGCAAACAGGAUUAGAUACCCUGGUAGUCCAUGCCGUAAACGAUGUCUACUAGCCGUUGGGGCCUUUGAGGCUUUAGUGGCGCAGCUAACGCGAUAAGUAGACCGCCUGGGGAGUACGGUCGCAAGACUAAAACUCAAAUGAAUUGACGGGGGCCCGCACAAGCGGUGGAGCAUGUGGUUUAAUUCGAUGCAACGCGAAGAACCUUACCUGGCCUUGACAUAGUAAGAACUUUCCAGAGAUGGAUUGGUGCCUUCGGGAACUUACAUACAGGUGCUGCAUGGCUGUUGUCAGCUCGUGUCGUGAGAUGUUGGGUUAAGUCCCGCAACGAGCGCAACCCUUUUCCUUAUUUGCCAGCGAGUAAUGUCGGGAACUUUAAGGAUACUGCCAGUGACAAACUGGAGGAAGGCGGGGACGACGUCAAGUCAUCAUGGCCCUUACGGCCAGGGCUACACACGUGCUACAAUGGUCGGUACAAAGGGUUGCCACCUAGCGAUAGGAUGCUAAUCCCAAAAAGCCGAUCGUAGUCCGGAUUGGAGUCUGCAACUCGACUCCAUGAAGUCGGAAUCGCUAGUAAUCGCGGAUCAGAAUGCCGCGGUGAAUACGUUCCCGGGCCUUGUACACACCGCCCGUCACACCAUGGGAGUUUGUUGCACCAGAAGUAGCUAGCCUAACUGCAAAGAGG